GACGAACGCUGGCGGCGUGCUUAACACAUGCAAGUCGAACGGAAAGGCCCUGCUUGCAGGGUACUCGAGUGGCGAACGGGUGAGUAACACGUGGGUGAUCUGCCCUGCACUUCGGGAUAAGCUUGGGAAACUGGGUCUAAUACCGGAUAGGAGCCAUCUUUAGUGUGGUGGUUGGAAAGUUUUUUCGGUGUAGGAUGAGCUCGCGGCCUAUCAGCUUGUUGGUGGGGUAAUGGCCUACCAAGGGGGCGACGGGUAGCCGGCCUGAGAGGGUGUACGGCCACAUUGGGACUGAGAGACGGCGCAGACUCCUACGGGGGGCAGCAAAGGGGAAUAUUGCACAAUGGGCGCAAGCCUGAUGCAGAGACGCCGCGUGGGGGAUGAAGGCCUUCGGGUUGUAAACUCCUUUCGCUAGGGACGAAGCUUUGUUGUGACGGUACCUAGAUAAGAAGCACCGGCUAACUACGUG
rnacentral:rRNA from 1 species